GGGAGAAUAGGGAGGAAUAAGAUCUGUUGUUAUUUUGGGACUUUUUCCCUCCCCCCUCCCUCAGGUAAACACUCUUUAUAAAAGGUGACAAUUGACUCUGUUUGCAGCUGGGCCGGCUCCUGCACAGCACCACUGAUCCCAGUCUGAGCGCCUCCACCACUGCCCCUCCCCCACCCACCAACCAACCAACAAACACCCAUCCCCCAACUCGCCGGGAAAUGGCGGGCCACCCUGACAAAAGAUACGGGGUCCACCGUAUCUGCUCGCAGGGCCCAGUCACGGGAGGCGGGCUUAGCGAUCCCUCGUUCCUCUUCUUCAGCAAAGGAGGGGGUAGGGGGGGAAGGGAGAGGAAAGGAGGAAACCCGGCUGCACGGAGGGACCCGCCUCCCACCCCGUCCACCAUUGGAUAAUUUGAAAGAGAUUCCCGGCGACGUCGAAAGGUUCCCCACGCCUCCUCCGCUUCUUAUUGGUCAUCCCAGGGGUCCGUCAACUGGGAGGUGCCUGUCAAUCAUGCCACGCCUGCCUUUUCUGGAAGGGAGGGGUGAGGUGGUGUAAGUUGCUUCAGCAGUGGACGAGUGUGGAAGCUGAGCAGGAGUGAGAGAGAGAGAGACGGCAAGGGAAGGACAUGGUUAACGACACGUCUGUCUGGUGGAUUUUUCUAUACGAAACUAACGAAACAAUUCCUUCUGUCAGCCAUUUACGGAUUUCUGACUGCCGUCCGUUUUACUUGUGGAUUAUAAAACAUUCUCAAAGCGAUUUUCUUUCCUUUUAUAAAUAAAAUUAAAAUCCUGAUCGAUGUCGCUUUGAUGUGGUAGCGCGGACUGCAGAUAUCAUGGCGCCUGUUGGCUUUCAGUAGUUCUUGUUGCAUGGUACUGAAAUUAAAUUUUUAUUAAAAGAAAACUAAGUGUUUGCACUUUUAAAACAUGCAUAUUAUCUCGGAUAAUUAGCGUCGAGAAAUCGAUUUAUAAGCGCGGCGAUAUUUUUCUAUUCCCCUGGACAAAAUGGCGCCGGCCGAGGCCCCACCUCAGGUGGAACCUUCGAGAAGGAGCCCGACCCGCUUCUUGGGUGUGGAGGGAUGGAGUUACAAAACGGGGAGAGAAGGUUCCAGAAUCGUCAUGACCGCUUGGGAUGGCGUUCCGUUCAUUUACCGAGUGAUCUAAUCGCUGACCAACACCCAACCCAGGAUGCUGGGAACCUCUCUCUCUAAAGGACCUUGAGACAAGCCAGUCUUGAUAAUUUUUUUUCCCUCCUUUUCCCCCAUUGGGCGAAAUUCUAUGGACAUUUUUUUCGCUUCUCUCGUAAUAUUGGACUGAUAGCAUCAUAGGAGAGAUAGGCUCUGUACAGUAUACGAAGAAAUUAAGAAAAAUAUUCCAUUUCAAAAAAAAAGUGGUUUAAUGCUGUUACCUUUUUUUUAAUUGUCCUGCAGAAAGAAUAAAUGUCUUUGUCACCA